UACGUAGGGUGCGAGCGUUGUCCGGAAUUACUGGGCGUAAAGGGCUCGUAGGCGGCCAACUAAGUCAGACGUGAAAUCCCUCGGCUUAACCGGGGAACUGCGUCUGAUACUGGAUGGCUUGAGUUUGGGAGAGGGAUGCGGAAUUCCAGGUGUAGCGGUGAAAUGCGUAGAUAUCUGGAGGAACACCGGUGGCGAAGGCGGCAUCCUGGACCGGCAUUGACGCUGAGGCGCGAAAGCCAGGGGAGCAAACGGG
rnacentral:rRNA from 1 species